GCCGGUCUGAAUUUCUGAAGUACAAAUAGGGUGUGAACAUGGGACUAGCCCAGCAGUUGAUGAGCUGGCAGUAUCAAAGUAAUUGAGCUGAAUUCCAAGGGCACUGGAUUGUGGGCAAUUUCUGCAGGAACUGCAGGUAACCCACAAGACAUCGCUUCCUGUAUCAAUCUGCACAGUGAAUUCUCUGGGAGGAGAGCCGAGCUUCACUUUUGUAAAAUACAGUAAGGGCGUUGAAGAUCCAUCGACCCCGACGAGAUAGGGAUCGGGAGAGCCUUGGACUGAGAAGUCGACGACGCCGCCAACAAAGCUCUGCAAGAGGCGGGCAUGCCUGACACUGUCCCGAGCCCUGAGUUGGUCGAGUCCGAGUGUGUGGUUCAAAGGAAAAGCCCUGUGGAGAGGGAGAAAAGUAGCACAAUAAACCAACGACAUAGGCAGUAGACUAGCUGCCAGGAUCAAGAACGGCCAGAGCGGCCGCAUUUUGAGUUCUUGAAGUUUAAGAGGCGGUUUCUUUAAAGAAAGAGCUCAGGGUAGUGGUGGCUACGGUGGUUCUUUCUUUUAUGCAUUGAGAGAGAACAGUAAGGGAGGGAGAAGAGAUGGAGUGGACCGUGACCAGAAACAACGGGACAGAAAUGACACGAGAGAGAGAGAGAGAGAGAGAGAG
rnacentral:misc_RNA from 1 species